GUCAGAAUGGCCGAGCGGUCUAAGGCGCCAGACUCAAGGUAUAUUACUUUCUCGGUUCAAGACCGAGUUUUCCGGGCCUUCUGGUCCUCUCUGAGGGCGUGGGUUCGAAUCCCACUUCUGACA
rnacentral:tRNA from 1 species